UUUCCUACGGGGCGCAGCAGUGGGGAAUUUUGGACAAUGGGCGCAAGCCUGAUCCAGCUAUUCCGCGUGUGGGAUGAAGGCCCUCGGGUUGUAAACCCCUUUUGUAGAGAACGAAAAGACACCUUCGAAUAAAGGGUGUUGCUGACGGUACUCUAAGAAUAAGCACCGGCUAACUACGUGCCAGCAGCCGCGGUAAUACGUAGGUGGCGAGCGUUAUCCGGAAUGAUUGGGCGUAAAGGGUGCGUAGGCGGCCUGCUAAGUCUGGAGUGAAAGGUACCGG
rnacentral:rRNA from 1 species